UACGUAGGGUGCAAGCGUUGUCCGGAUUUAUUGGGUUUAAAGGGUGCGUAGGCGGCUAAUUAAGUCAGUGGUGAAAUACAGCAGCUCAACUGUUGAGGUGCCAUUGAUACUGAAUAGCUUGAGUACAGAUGAGGUAGGCGGAAUUUAUGGUGUAGCGGUGAAAUGCAUAGAUACCAUAAAGAACACCGAUUGCGAAGGCAGCUUACUAAGCUGUAACUGACGCUGAGGCACGAAAGCGUGGGGAGCGAACAGG
rnacentral:rRNA from 1 species